UACGAAGGGGGCUAGCGUUGCUCGGAAUCACUGGGCGUAAAGCGCACGUAGGCGGAUUGCUAAGUCAGGGGUGAAAUCCUGGAGCUCAACUCCAGAACUGCCUUUGAUACUGGCAACCUUGAGUCCGGGAGAGGUGAGUGGAACUGCGAGUGUAGAGGUGAAAUUCGUAGAUAUUCGCAAGAACACCAGUGGCGAAGGCGGCUCACUGGCCCGGUACUGACGCUGAGGUGCGAAAGCGUGGGGAGCAAACAGGG
rnacentral:rRNA from 1 species